GGGUUUGUAGCUCAGUGGUAGAGCAUUGCCUUACAUGCGUGAGACCCUGAGUUUGAUCCUCAGCACCA
rnacentral:tRNA from 1 species